GCCUGCCAUUCUGGGAUGAUUUCUCGUGUCCAGUGUCCUGCCUCGCUUCGCCGCGACGGCGAGCGACGAGAGCCUCCGGGGGACGUGGUCACUGGUCACCAGCUCCCUGCUCGCCGGGCGUGCCACGACGUCGUCGGCGACGCCGACCUGGUUCGUCUGGGAGAGUCUACGCUCGGCUCUCCACCGGCGGCUCUGACGUGGAGGAUUAGCUCGUGCGCGAUGCCCGCGAGGUGUGGGACGCCACCAGCAAUGGGAGCACAGACGCGUCGUCCCCAGCCAGCUUCGGCGAGCUGAACUGGAUACGCCAUGACAGAGUCCACCACUCCACCUACUUCACCAAAUCGCUAGGCAUGGCAUUCAAGGCAUGUCGCCGGUGGCUGCGCACCAGGUGCUCGCUGUUUUGCCUGAGAGGGACCAAUGCUCAAAAAUAUGCAUGGGCAUACCAUUGUGCCAGAACCAAGAUCUUUCUCAAGCACACAAGAUCUUUCUCCAGAACCAAGGAAUCUGUGGACAAAAAGGAUUGGAUUCCUGUCAUCUUGGGGAUGAAGUUACAAAGACUCAGCUUAAGCUUGAUUCGAAAGGUUCGAUAUCUCAUAUCUACCAGAAGGUCCCAAGACUAUGAUGUCAAAACUAUAACUUGUAUACUAGUUUUGAAAUGCAGUGACAAAGAGGGGUAAAAACUGGAGCGCAGGUCAGCGCCAGCUUGUGUACUUGGGAAGGGUGAUUCUGGAAAUUAAAGGAGAAAGAUCUUGGUUCUGGAUGAGGCAACUUCCUCUGUGGAUCCAAUAACCUACAGUUUGAUUCAGGAAACCUUAAAACUUAAAUUUGCCCAAUGGAUUACAAUAGCGCAUCGUAUCACAUCAGUUCUUGAUAGUCACAAAGUCUUGCUACUAGACAACGGUGAAAUCGCAGAGCAUGACGCACCAGCAAAACUGCUAGAGGACAGUUCAUCCCUAUUUGCCAAGCUCGUAUUGAGUAAAUGCAAGAAAUAUAAACAGGAUGGUGAAGCUAGAAAACUAGGAUGAGGAUUGAGGUUAAUGAAAAUGCUGAAGUACCGUGCCUUUCAAACUAUCAUGUGAAUCCAAGAAUA